rnacentral:rRNA from 1 species
GGAGCGUUCUGUAAGCCUGUGAAGGUGGCCUGUGAGGGUUGCUGGAGGUAUCAGAAGUGCGAAUGCUGACAUAAGUAACGAUAAAGCGGGUGAAAAGCCCGCUCGCCGGAAGACCAAGGGUUCCUGUCCAACGUUAAUCGGGGCAGGGUGAGUCGACCCCUAAGGCGAGGCCGAAAGGCGUAGUCGAUGGGAAACGGGUUAAUAUUCCCGUACUUGGUGUUACUGCGAAGGGGGGACGGAGAAGGCUAUGUUGGCCGGGCGACGGUUGUCCCGGUUUAAGCGUGUAGGUGUGUGUUCCAGGUAAAUCCGGUUCACUUUAACACUGAGGCGUGAUGACGAGGCACUACGGUGCUGAAGCAACAAAUGCCCUGCUUCCAGGAAAAGCCUCUAAGCAUCAGGUAACAUCAAAUCGUACCCCAAACCGACACAGGUGGUCAGGUAGAGAAUACCAAGGCGCUUGAGAGAACUCGGGUGAAGGAACUAGGCAAAAUGGUGCCGUAACUUCGGGAGAAGGCACGCUGACACGUAGGUGAAGUGAUUUACUCA